GAUGAAGAACGCAGCGAAAUGCGAUAAGUAAUGUGAAUUGCAGAAUUCAGUGAAUCAUCGAAUCUUUGAACGCACAUUGCGCCCCCUGGUAUUCCGGGGGGCAUGCCUGUUCGAGCGUCAUUUCACGACUCAAGCCUCGCUUGGUAUUGGGCAACGCGGUCCGCCGCGUGCCUCAAAUCGACCGGCUGGGUCUUCUGUCCCCUAAGCGUUGUGGAAACUAUUCGCUAAAGGGUGUUCGGGAGGCUACGCCGUAAAACAACCCCAUUUCUAAGGUUGACCUCGGAUCAGGUAGGGAUACCCGCUGAACUUAAGCAUAUCAAUAAGCGGAGGA
rnacentral:misc_RNA from 1 species